rnacentral:rRNA from 1 species
GACCCUAUAGAGUUUUAUAUUUAAUUAAUAAAUUAUUUUUUAGAAUUUAAUAUUAAUUUAUUUAUUAAAUAUUUGAUUGGGGUGAUUGAAAAAUUUAAGUAACUUUUUUUAUAUAUAAACAUUAAUAUAUGACUAUUUGAUCCAUUAUUUAUGAUUACAAGAUUAAAUUACCUUAGGGAUAACAGCGUAAUUUUUUUUAAGAGUUCAAAUCGAAAGAAAAGAUUGCGACCUCGAUGUUGGAUUAAAAUUUAUUUUUGGUGUAGAAGCUAAAUUAAUUGGGUCUGUUCGACCUUUAAAAUUUUACAUGAUCUGA